GACGAACGCUGGCGGCGUGCCUAAUACAUGCAAGUCGAACGCUUCUUUCCUCCCGAGUGCUUGCACUCAAUUGGAAAGAGGAGUGGCGGACGGGUGAGUAACACGUGGGUAACCUACCCAUCAGAGGGGGAUAACACUUGGAAACAGGUGCUAAUACCGCAUAACAGUUUAUGCCGCAUGGCAUAAGAGUGAAAGGCGCUUUCGGGUGUCGCUGAUGGAUGGACCCGCGGUGCAUUAGCUAGUUGGUGAGGUAACGGCUCACCAAGGCCACGAUGCAUAGCCGACCUGAGAGGGUGAUCGGCCACACUGGGACUGAGACACGGCCCAGACUCCUACGGGAGGCAGCAGUAGGGAAUCUUCGGCAAUGGACGAAAGUCUGACCGAGCAACGCCGCGUGAGUGAAGAAGGUUUUCGGAUCGUAAAACUCUGUUGUUAGAGAAGAACAAGGACGUUAGUAACUGAACGCCCCCUGACGGUAUCUAACUAGAAAGCCACGGCUAACUACGUG
rnacentral:rRNA from 1 species